CAGUUCNGAUUGCAGGCUGCAACUCGCCUGCAUGAAGUCGGAAUUGCUAGUAAUCGUAGGUCAGCAUACUACGGUGAAUACGUUCCCGGGCCUUGUACACACCGCCCGUCAAACCAUGAGAGUUGGCAACACCCGAAGUCGGUAGUCUAACCGCAAGGAGGACGCCGCCGAAGGUGGGGUUGAUGAUUAGGGUUAAGUCGUAACAAGGUACC
rnacentral:rRNA from 1 species